AGUAGCUUCUGUUCGCGCAAUUUGGGGCAAAAGGCUGGAGAGGCGGUGGCGUAGGCGUCACUGGCUCUGCCGUCUUAAAGAUCUGUUAUAUAGUUGUAGCCUCAAGUGUCCAGUUGAGGUUGUGAGGUCCAGCGGUGUAUGGGCUCCUACAGGGUAUCCGGUGGGGUGUAUGUGUGGAGGAGGAGGAAGGUCGGAAUUGGGACUCUUAAGAAAAACAACAGGGAGAACCGCUUUCUCCUGAAGAUAAAGCUUUAGGUUAAAUCUGUCACAUGUGUAGCUUGUAGGUCACUGGAGAGGGGGGUAGGACUGAUAGGCACGUAGGAAGCGCUCAACUAAUUGUUGAGUGAGUUUUCCUUACAUUCUUGUAGCUUCAAUCUCUCCCAUUCUACUGACUUCUUCCUAGUGGCACCUACAUGCUUAAGUCUAUCCCUCUUCUGCCUCAGCUCCUCAAGUCCCUACGUUCUUGUCUUAUCUCGUCUUAUCUCCCGUUGGCAGCCAACUUGACGGAAAGAGCUGUUUGUGCUUGCCGUUGCCCUCCCACUCCUUAUCCCUCUCCAAUCUGCCUUUCACCCCCUAGAAACACCUCUGGUCAAAGUCAGCCACAACUCCAUUUGCUAAUCUCACGUUUCUCAAUCUUUACUUGACCUCUCCCCUUGUUGAGAAAUAUUCUUCCGUCAGCUUUUGUGAUCUCAGACGCCUAUUCUGUUAUUUUUUUCUUCCUAUCCUUUAAGGGUGCUCCAGCUCAGUUUCCUCUUCAGGCCCCUCCUUCUCUUCCCUAGCACAUCCCAUCUUCUCCUUUGACUUCAGUGAUUGUAUACUGUUGCUUCCCUGUCUACCUGCAACUUAAACACAGCGCCUGAGCCCAGAGGUGUAUAUUUUAGUACCUACUACAUGCCUCCACCUCCCACAGGCACCCAGACUCAAAAUCUCCAAAAUGGAACUCAUCAUUUCCUCCUUAAACUCCACUGCUCCUUUUGUAUUGCCUGUAUCAGUGAAUGGCACGUCAACCACUCAGUUACC
ensembl:lncRNA